UGUCUAUGUAGAUAUAUGUAUAUGAGUGCAUGUUUCAAUAUAGGACAGAAGAGGUAGUCAUAUCCCUGUUUUCUGGGGCUAUGGGCACUUGUAAGUCACCAGACAUAGAUAUUGGGAAUUGACUCCAGAUCCUCUAGAAGCCCCCAUCUGAUUGUUCCUUUCCCAUCCAAAUACAUAAUAUGUGGGCAUGCGCGCGCGCGCGCGCACACACACACACCUUUUUAAGGUCAGGUGUUCAAAUUCAUGACAGCCAUGUGAGAGGGAGCAGCACGCUAUAGUUGGUGCCACCCCUAGGCAGAUGGGCCUGGGGUGUAUAAGAAAACAAGAUGAUCAAGUCAUGGGCAGCAAGCCGGUAAGCAUGGCCUUUACUUCAGUUUCUGCCUCUAGGUAUCUUACCUGUUGCGUUCCCCUAAUCUGGCUUCUUAGAUGAUAGACAUGUAGAAGUCUUAAGAUGAAAUUAGUUCUUUCCUCUCCAGGUUGGUCUUGGUUAUGGUGGUUUUAUUUGUCAUAGCAUUAUAAACUGUAACUAGGACACCUGAGUUGCAUCUUUGUGAACUAAGUGGCAAGUUGUUUUUCUGCCAUUCACAUCUGUGCUGUGUGUGUUGGAUUUGUUUUUUGUUUUUUGUUUUCAGCUAUUUCCUGAUAGAGGUUUUUUUUUUUUUUGAGACAGGGUUUCUCUGUGUAGCCCUGGCUGUCCGUGGUGCUCACUUUGUAGACCAGGCUGGCCUCGAACUCAGAGAUCCGCCUGCCUCUGUCUCCCUAGUGCUGGGAUUAAAGGUGUGCACCACCACGCCUGGCUUCCCCUGAUAACAGUUUUUAAAACAGUAUUCGUGGGGGAUCUGAAAUGAGAUCUCUAAACACACAACUACUGAAAUGGGCCCAUCUGUAAUGGGAUCUGAUGCCCUCUUCCAUGCAGUUUUACAUGCAGAUAGAGCACUCAUACAUAAAUAAAUUUUAAUAAAAUAUCCAAACCCACAUGUCAUUUUAGAUGAAUCUGCAAAACUAAAGAAAUAUCAUUUAAGGGCUGGAGAGAUGACUCAGCAAUUAAAAACACUGACUGCUCUUCCAGAGGUCCUGAGUAUAGUUCCCAGCAACCACAUGGUGGCUCACAACCAUCUGUAAUGGAAUCUUGAUGCCCUCUUCUGGUGUUUCUGAAGACAGCUACAAUGUACUUAUAAAUAAAAUAAAUAAACUUUUUUUUUUAAACAGGAAAUUAUAUAAGUGCCUUUUUAGAAUGUUUCUAGUAAGUGACGUCAGGAAAACAUAGUUAAAUUUUUAUUGCUGUAAAGUUUGAUUUCAAACUCAGAAGUGUCUUACUGAGAGACCUUCUAGUAGAUUACACAUGAUGACUUUACCUAGGUAUUGUUUCAGCUUUGCAGGGUGAGCUAGAAUGAUUAUGCACACCGACUCCCCAGCCUAAUACACCUGAUAGGUGUCGUGAUUGACUAUCAUGAUUGGUUUGUCUGGAGUUAGAAUUCCCUGGGAGUUAGAUCCUGAGCUUGUGUGUCUGAAGGCAGGUACAGUGUGCUCAUAUAUAUAAAAUAAAUCAUUCUUU
rnacentral:lncRNA from 1 species